rfam:Nomascus leucogenys chromosome 19, whole genome shotgun sequence.
GCCGGGUCCUAGUGGUGCAUGCCUGUUGUCCCAGCUACUCAGGAGACUGAGGCAGGAGGAUCGCUUGAGCUCAGAAGUUCUGGGGUGUAGUGUGCUCUGCCAGUCGGUCAGGUGUCUGCACUAAGUUUGGGAUCAAUUUGGUGAUCUCACUGGAACCAGGGACUACCAGGUUGCCCAUUGGAAAAGGAGCAAGAACGAAUGCUGAUCAGUAGUGGUAUUACACCUGUGAAUAGUCAUUGCAUUCCAGCAUGAACAACACAGGGAGAACUUGUCUCUU